CCAUUGGUGUUUCAGUGGUAGAAUUCUUGCCUUCCACGAAGGAGACCCGGGUUCAAUUCCCAGCCAGUGUA
rnacentral:tRNA from 1 species